GUGCUUGUUGUGACAGUGCAUAUACUAAAACUGAAAUGAUAUAGAGAUUAGCAUAACCCUGGAUAAGGAUGAUGUGCAAAUUUAUGAAGCUUCUUAAGUGUAA
ensembl:snRNA U6 U6 spliceosomal RNA